UACGGAGGGUGCGAGCGUUGUCCGGAAUCACUGGGCGUAAAGGGCGCGUAGGCGGCCUGAUAAGGUAGGGGGGUGAAAUCCCUGCGGCUUAACCGCAGGGCUGCCUCUAAACUGUCAGGCUCGAGCACAGUAGAGGCAGGUGGGAAUUCCCGGCUGGUAGCGGUGGAAUGCCGUAGAGAUCGGGAAGAACAUCAGUGGCGAAGGCGG
rnacentral:rRNA from 1 species